CCCGUGCGGGGCUCGAACCCAUGAAUCAUGAGAUCAUGACCUGAGCUGAAGUCGGACGCCCAACCGACUGAGCCACCCAGGUGCCCCUAAAAUUAACCUUUUUAAAGUGAACGGUGCAGUGGCACGUAGUACAUUCAAAGUGUUGGGCUACCUUCCUCUCUAUGUAGGGGCGAAACAUUUCUAUUACUCCAAGUAAAACCCCUUACGUGUUAAGUAGUUUCUCCCCAGUGUCCCUUCCCCCAGUCCCUGGCAACCGUCAGUUCUCUGCCUUAUGGAUUCAUCUGUUCUGGACAUUUCACACAGAUGGAGCCAUGCGAUACGUGACCUUUUGUGUCUGGCUUGCCUCCCGUAGCUUCGUGUUUGUAAGGUUCACCGGUUCGUCAGUACUGCAUUCCUUUCUAUAGAUGAGUAAUACUCUGCUGUGUGGAUUUGCCACUCAUGGAGUAUUCAUUUGCCUGCUGACGGACACUGGGCUGGUCAGGCUUACUCUUGACCCCUUGAGCUCUGUCCAUACAAUGGUUUGGAGGGAACAAGACAGGACGAGGAAGAAGGGCUGGGGCCGUGUCAGGGGGGCAGGCCGAGGGCUCUGGCCGUGGGAAAGACAGAGGAGUGCAUUAUUUAGGGAGGCAGAUGGUUGCGAGGUGCCGGAGGGAGAAGUGAGGCAUGUCGCCCCAGUUGUGUAAGACAAGCCAUGAAGGAGGACAGGUGGGAGAAGACGGUCACGGGUUUGGUUUGGGCCUUGCAAGUUUGAGUUGUUUGUGGACCAUCCAGAGGGAACUGUCCUCCAUGCAGUAAGAGCUGUGGGCCUGGAGCUUGGGGGGAAGUGCUGGGCAGAGUGGGGCUUGGCAGUCAGCAGUGUGUCGCCGAGAAGAACAGAAGAGAGCGGGGAAGAGGGAGAUGGGAGGGCUCAGAACAGAGCCUCUUACACCGUGUACUCCCAAAGGCAGGACCUGACCACCUUGCCCCCCACUGACUGCCAGACCCAGCCACAAUGACUAGCAUAUACACACAGCCACUUACAACCCGGUAGGAUGAAUGAAGGAGUCCACAGAAGCCUGGGACCUCACAGGAGAAAUCAAGAAAAACAGGGUGUUGGAAAAACUGAGAGGAACACGUUUCAAGGAUAAAGUGGCUGGCUGAUGCUGCAGCUGUCAGUCUGGGGAGAAUCGCGCCGGCCCGGCUUACCUCCUGCCAAGGCGUGCUCUGGGGUGUGAAUCAAAAAGCUGUAGAAUUAUAGAACUUCUGAGAGAGCUGGUUGGGACCUCAAGAUCCACCUGCUUUGAACUCCCCACUGGACAGGAGACGAAACUGAGGAUCAGAGAUGGCACAGACCAGGGUCACAGUCAAUUUGAAGGCACCAGAGCUGGAGUUAGAACCCACAGAGCCUCCCGCCUUCUCCCAGGUUCCCCCAGCCCAAAGGAGGUGCUUUUACUAUCUUUCUUGUAAGAUGAAGUGACACUACAUGGUAUUUGCAGCA